GUGGAUUUGAUCUCCUGACCAGCGAAAACUAUUUAGGAAAUCACACAGUCAGAUCAAUUUUUAUUUCAGCGUUUGACACCAUAUCUGCUUGACAGACGUCAAUCCAAUAGGAAUGUGAUGAGCGACCGUCCUCACGUCUGAUGGAGAUGCGGAAGGAGCAGAGCGGGCAGGUGACGGCGUCCAGCGCCCGUGGCAUAGGCAGCACCGUGCCGCACUCUGGGCAGAAGUUCGAGUCCCCGCUGAAGCAGGACAUGGCUGAGGAGAAACAACCAUAUGCCGGCGUGAGGCUGAUGGAGAGGCACGAAUGCAGAACAAGCAUUGGGACUAUGAGGAGAAUGAGCUGGAGGUGGCAGGGGAAGUAGAUUUGUAUAUCCCCUGGAAUAAAACCAAAGCUGUUGGCACGUAUGUCGCCACUGGGUGGUAGUAUUGUUCUGCGGUUUUCCAGAGGAAGGAGAGGAGAGGAAGGAGGAGACCUCGAUGAAGAGGCAUUGCCCUCAUUUGGCGGUGGUGGUGGGCACCACAGACCCUAAACUACUCCUCUUGACCCCUGGUCGGUCCAAUGCAACAAGCAGCAUGGAGCGUUAAUCUUCUGCUUUCGUGUAAACUGUAACGAUCAUUUUGAUCUUUAUGCAAAAAGUACUCAUUAUUUUGUCUUCAGUGUUUCUUAUGAGAAAAAAAAACCAUCUACAAAUAUUGACUUUGUACUGUUGACUCAUUAUUUGACCCUUAAACAACCCCCAUAUCUUCUCCACAAAGUGAUUGCAGUUCAGUGACCAGUGUGGGAGGACAUUUUAACCUCUGUCCUGGCUGUUUUGAUUGGCCACAGGCUAGGAGAAAGGUUCCUCAAUGCCGAGGUUCAGACUGAUAGGAGACACUUACUGUAAACACGGCUUUGCAAAACCAACAUUUCCAGGGCAGCAGCUCACCACCAACGUUUGAAAGGAGUGCCAAUGAAAGACCCAUUACUUGGGCUCAGCACAUAAUAUAUGACUCCAUAUUUUCCAUGAACUUAUGCAAUUUCCUCAGAAGUAGGCUCAUUAUUCAUUGAACUCACUAUUAUGGCAUUUAACAUUGAACGACAUUCUUUGUAAGCUCUGUCUACCCUAGUAACCGAAAAUCAAACAUUCGUCAAUUGUAACCAACUGGGCACGACAUAACAUGGACUGAUGACAGAGACCAACAUGCACAAUAAACAUGUCAGGAAUCCCAUUAAAAUAUUGUAUUUUAUGUUAGGGAAGCUAGAGGACAGUUUAGUAAGUACAAUCUAUAAAAACACAUCUGCAGUCAGCUCAACUUGUGUAUUCUGAUGUAAUAACCACAUUUUAAUUUAGGUGUUUGACUUAUUUAUACUGAAACUUUUUCUUUAUCCCUUAGUUGAGAUGUGGGGUGUGAAUAGAGUCCUCUACAGAGGGGCAGGAGGUCUCUGCCUGGUCCGUGAGCCCCGCGGCCUCUGGAGACCUCUCCUCUCGGUGAGGGACAUAGGAACAGAACACAGCCCACCUGAUAUCCGCCUCUUUACAUAGAAAACGUAUGCAUUCAUUACAUUAUCUUCAGAAACUUCUGAUGGGAGGUCUGAGGAUUGGUGUCACCCUCAGGCACCUUCUGACCUGCAGCCUCCUGCAGCGCAGUCCAGCUGAAGGGCUGGCCCUGGUUCCCAGGCUGCUGCCGAGCCGACUGGCCCAGCACACAGGGACCCUCUGGGGGAACAGAGAGGGCUGCCUCCGCUCUGAGGACACGGACCUCAGUGCACUACUGACACAGGGUUAGAGACAACCAGUCCUCUGCCCUUGACCCCCUGGACCUUAAUGUCAACCAGUCCCCCGCCACAGGCCUCAGUGUGGCUCGCUGCUCCCAGUAGCUGAAGAGGAAACUCCAGGGCCGGCAGGACGGUGGACGCGGCGACCCCAGGGGGUUGAUCCGGCCACCCUGGGACUUCAUUCACACAGAGAUACCUUCAA